rnacentral:rRNA from 1 species
UACGAGGGGUCCAAGCGUUGCUCGGAAUCAUUGGGCGUAAAGAGUGUGUAGGCGGUGCUCUAAGUUCGGUGUGAAAUCUCCUGGCUCAACUGGGAGGGUGCGCCGGAAACUGGAGUGCUUGAGCGUGGGAGAGGAAAGCGGAAUUCCUGGUGUAGCGGUGAAAUGCGUAGAUAUCAGGAGGAACACCUGUGGUGUAGACGGCUUUCUGGACCAUAGCUGACGCUGAGACACGAAAGCGUGGGUAGCAAACAGG